AGCUAUCAACUGUGAUUCUACCUUUAUUGAAGCUUACAAUAAUCUGGGGAAUGCUCUCAAAGACGCUGGACAUGCUCUCAAAGACGCUGGACAUUAUAGGUCAUGCUUUGCUUUACAACCUAACCAUCCACAA